GGCGGGAUAAGAGCGACGUUCGGUUGAGGAACAAUAAAUGCGGCCUAGCUGAGCUCAUUUGACUGAUGGCAGCCCUGCAGAGACGAACCUUGCUGCUCGCCAAUGGCUCCAUCUGUCUGCGGCCCUGCAAGAAGGAUAUUGCCGUUUCACCGUACUGACUCUCUGCAUGACCCAUGCUGCACUGCGAGCUUGCUCACAAGGGGAAGACCAAGAACCCAGAGAAGGUGGAGUAUUUCCAGCCUCCCAUGAGGUUCCCCCUCUCAAGUCGAAGGUAAGCCUUGUCCCCUUUCUCCAUGAUCACCAGACCAGCAUUUGUGGCUGCUUCCCUGGUCACAUCCUGGUCCCCGGCGAAAGCGGAAAUCAUCGGCCAGCCGUUCACCAUCAAGCUGACCUGGAAGAAACCAUUCCAUGCUGAACCUCAGCAGCUACAUGACAGCUGAGAGUGAGUUACCUGAAUUGUCUGUCUGUUGUAAGCUUUCACAACAUGAAAGUUAAAGCUGUAAACUCCUCUCCUCGGUGCAAGGAAGAUGCUGCUCUCUUGAUCAAAAUGACUGCCCACAUUCACCAAGAUCUGAAAGGAAGGGUCAAAAAACACUGCCUGACUUGUCUUAACAGGUUACAAAAUAUUACACAUAUUCAGUGAGAAAUGACAUCAUAAAAUAUCACAGUUAGUCAACAA